rnacentral:rRNA from 1 species
GAGUUUGAUCAUGGCUCAGAUUGAACGCUGGCGGCAGGCCUAACACAUGCAAGUCGAGCGGUAACAGAUUGAUAGCUUGCUAUCAAUGCUGACGAGCGGCGGACGGGUGAGUAAUGCCUGGGAAUAUGCCCUGAUGUGGGGGAUAACUAUUGGAAACGAUAGCUAAUACCGCAUAAUCUCUUCGGAGCAAAGAGGGGGACCUUCGGGCCUCUCGCGUCAGGAUUAGCCCAGGUGGGAUUAGCUUGUUGGUGGGGUAAUGGCUCACCAAGGCGACGAUCCCUAGCUGGUCUGAGAGGAUGAUCAGCCACACUGGAACUGAGACACGGUCCAGACUCCUACGGGAGGCAGCAGUGGGGAAUAUUGCACAAUGGGGGAAACCCUGAUGCAGCCAUGCCGCGUGUAUGAAGAAGGCCUUCGGGUUGUAAAGUACUUUCAGUUGUGAGGAAGGCAGUAAAGUUAAUAGCUUUAUUGUUUGACGUUAGCAACAGAAGAAGCACCGGCUAACUCCGUGCC